rnacentral:misc_RNA from 1 species
UUAAAUAAAGGAACUCGAAUUUUUCAUUGAUAAAUUUUCACAAUAAAUGUAUUUGUUGGUAAAAAUGAUAAUUUCUAGCGAUUAAAAUAUAUUUAUAGUUACUGUAUAAUUAUGACAAUAUAUAUAUAAUUAUAUGUAUAUAAUUUGUAGUAUUAUUUAUCUCAGCUAAUCCAAGUAAAUAUAAUCCUACUGCAUCUCAAACUAAAUUAUUACUAUACAGAGAAUCAUCCAAUAUAAUUAAGUAUACUAUUUUAUUGUUUUCGCGUAAUGUAAACGUUUGCCCAUAUUUGUUCAGCAGAUUCAAUAUCGAGGAAAUAUCUCCCACAUGAAACGCGUUAACUCGUCUUGAGAAAUAAAUGCACCGCUUGCUAAUUAGUAUCAGACAGCACUGAAGUAUUACUAAUAUCGCGAG